rnacentral:rRNA from 1 species
UACAGAGACUGCAAGCGUUAUUCGGAUUCACUGGGCGUAAAGGGUGCGCAGGCGGCCAGGUGUGUCAGGUGUGAAAGCCCGGAGCUUAACUCCGGAAUUGCGCCUGAAACUACUUGGCUAGAGCAUUGGAGAGGGUAGCGGAAUUCACGGUGUAGCAGUGAAAUGCGUAGAUAUCGUGAGGAACACCAGAGGCGAAAGCGGCGUCCUGGGGUGCGGUUGACGCUCAGACACGAAAGCAUGGGGAGCGAACGGG